AUUGAACGCUGGCGGCAGGCUUAACACAUGCAAGUCGAACGAGUGGCGGACGGGUGAGUAAUGCUUGGGAAUCUGGCUUAUGGAGGGGGAUAACUACGGGAAACGGUAGCUAAUACCGCGUACCAUAGGAUGAGCCCAAGUGGGAUUAGGUAGUAGGUGGGGUAAAGGCUCACCAAGCCGACGAUCCCUAGCUGGUCUGAGAGGAUGACCAGCCACACUGGGACUGAGACACGGUCCAGACUCCUACGGGAGGCAGCAGUGGGGAAUAUUGCGCAAUGGGGGCAAGCUGAUGCAGCCAUGCCGCGUGUAUGAAGAAGGCCUUCGGGUUGUAAAGUACUUUCGGUAGGGAGGCGUUACCUGCAGAAGAAGCACCGGCUAACUCCGUGCCAGCCGCCGCGGUAAUUC
rnacentral:rRNA from 1 species